rnacentral:rRNA from 1 species
CCAUCAUUUAGGUGGGCAAUGUAGGGGGGAGUGCCGGUGACAAACCCGAGGAAGGUGGGGGAGGACGUCAAAUCAUCAUGCCCCUUAUGACCUGGGCUACACACGGGGUACAAUGGGGAAGUACAACGAGUCGCUAGACCGGGGAGGUCAUGCAAAUCUCUUAAAGCUUCUCUCAGUUCGGAUUGCAGGCUGCAACUCGCCUGCAUGAAGCCGGAAUCGCUAGUAAUCGCGGAUCAGCACGCCGCGGUGAAUACGUUCCCGGGCCUUGUACACACCGCCCGUCAUCCACGAGAGUUUGUAACACCCGAAGUCGGUGAGGUAACCUUUGGAG